GCUGGGCAUGGUGGGGCACGCCUGUAAUCCCAGCUACCCGGGAGGCUGAGGCAGGAGAAUCACUUGAACCCAGGAGGUGGAGGUUGCAGUGAGCCGAGAUCACACCACUGCACUCCAGCCUGGGUGACAGAGAGAGACUCUGCCUCAA
rnacentral:SRP_RNA from 1 species